AGGAACAUGUGGUUUAAUUCGAUGAUACGCGAGGAACCUUACCUGGGCUUAAAUGGGGAGUGACAGCUGUCGAAAGAUGGUUUUCUUCGGACACUCUUCAAGGUGCUGCAUGGUUGUCGUCAGCUCGUGCCGUGAGGUGUCGGGUUAAGUCCCAUAACGAGCGCAACCCUUACCGUUAGUUACCAUCAGGUUAAGCUGGGGACUCUAGCGGGACUGCCACCGUAAGGUGAGAGGAAGUGGGGAUGACGUCAAAUCAGCACGGCCCUUAUGUCCAGGGCUACACACGUGUUACAAUGGCCAGUACAAAGGGCAGCUACCGGGUGACCGGAUGCUAAUCUCUAAAGCUGGUCUCAGUUCGGAUCGAAGUCUGCAACCCGACUUCGUGAAGCUGGAUUCGCUAGUAAUCGCGCAUCAGCCAUGGCGCGGUGAAUACGUUCCCGGGCCUU
rnacentral:rRNA from 1 species